rnacentral:lncRNA from 1 species
AUGACUCUGAGAGAGGAGGCUACAGCCCUGCAGGCAGGGUUACAGCAGCGGACGGCAGAGCUGGAGCGGAAGUUGGACACAGUGGUGUUGGCGAUGGGAGGGCUCGGACUGCUGAGUGAACACAGUGGCCAAACCCCACACUCUGAGGUUAAAGUUGCAGGCUGUCAGUCUGCGACGGGUGCUGAGCGAGUACCUGUUUCCUCUGCUGUCCUCCUCUCACCACCUCAACAGCGGGACCACUUUCAGCAUGUUCCUGCAACUUAUCCUGCGCCACCGCACCAGCAGCUUCCUGCUGUCGAUCUCCUGCACUCCUAUGGGACCUCCGCGCUCACAGCUCAGACUCUAGUCUCAACAGUCUGCCCCUAGUUCAGCUUCCCUCUGCUUCCUCGCUAUCGCUGACCCCUGACCCUCUUCGCUCACAGAGGUCUCCGGGCACAGUGCUAGCUGAGAUUGCUCAGCUGAGCAGAGAGACCGAUCUUAUCAGGGCUCAACUCAGCCAGGCAAAGGGCCUCGGGUCAGGGGUCAGAGAAUCGCUCGACAGUGGCAAUGAGAGAAGAGGGUUGAGCUGCAGCAGCACCGGGAGAGUAACACCUCAGAGCGCUGCAGAGAGCAGGAUGUCUGGGUCCAGCUGUAAAGAGAGGUGUAGCCAGCAUGUGUGGACUCCUGAAGAACAACAGCUGACUCAACAGGUGAGAUUUAAGGGGUUGUUUGAAGCUCUCUGAGAGGAGCUCACCUUUUAGAAGUGGAGUAGUGGCUGCUCUUAUCCUCCCUUCAUAGCGUGAUGCGACAGGUGUGUCGAGGAAUGAACUGCGCUGAGCCUUUAGGUGGCCUACUCAUUCAGAUAUAGUAAUGAUUCAAAUACAGUGUGUGUCUUGUUUUUUGUUGGGGUU